AGUCGAGAAGCUUCGGCAAUGGACGAAAGCCUGACCGAGCGAUGCCGCGUGAGCGAAGAAGGUCCUAUGGAUUGUAAAGCUCUGUCAGAUUGGGAAGAAAAGUCUGCGGUUAAUACCCGUAGGCCUUGACGGUACCAUCAGAGGAAGCACCGGCUAACUCCGUGCCAGCAGCCGCGGUAAUACGGAGGGUGCAAGCGUUGUUCGGAUUCACUGGGUAUAAAGGGUGCGCAGGCGGCCUGAUAAGUCAGGGGUGAAAUAUGACGGCUUAACCGUCAAACUGCCCCUGAAACUGCCAGGCUUGAGUCCGGGAGAGGUAGGUGGAAUUCCAGGUGUAGCGGUGAAAUGCGUAAAUAUCUGGAGGAACACCGGUGGCGAAGGCGGCCUACUGGCCCGGAACUGACGCUCAGGCACGAAAGCUAGGGGAGCGAACGGGAUUAGAUACCCCGGUAGUCCUAGCCGUAAACGAUGGACACUAGGUGUUGGAGGAGUCUACCCCUUCAGUGCCGCAGCUAAUGCAUUAAGUGUCCCACCUGGGGAGUACGAUCGCAAGGUUGAAACUCAAAGGAAUUGACGGGGGCCCGCACAAGCGGUGGAGCAUGUGGUUUAAUUCGACGCAACGCGAAGAACCUUACCUGGGCUUGACAUGCAGGGGACAGGUGUAGAAAUACAUCCUUCUUCGGACUCCUGUACAGGUGCUGCAUGGCUGUCGUCAGCUCGUGUCGUGAAAUGUUAGGUUAAGUCCUGCAACGAGCGCAACCCCUGUCUUUAGUUGCCAUCAGGUUAUGCUGGGGACUCUAGAGAGACUGCCGGUGACAAACCGGAGGAAGGUGGGGACGACGUCAAGUCAUCAUGGCCCUUACGCCCAGGGCUACACACGUGCUACAAUGGUCGGUACAAUGGGCUGCGAUACAGUGAUGUGGAGCGAAUCCCAAAAAGCCGGCCUCAGUUCGGAUCGUAGUCUGCAACUCGACUACGUGAAGUUGGAAUCGCUAGUAAUCGCGUAUCAGAACGACGCGGUGAAUACGUUCCCGGGCCUUGUACACACCGCCCGUCAAGUCAACCGAGUUGGUUGCACCCCAAGUCGCUGAGCUAACCCUUUCGGGGGAGGCAGGUGCCCAAGGUGUGAUUAGCGAGGGGGACU
rnacentral:rRNA from 1 species